UCUCCUGCAAAGCAAACAGCUCCAUCAGAGGCUGCUCCCCUGACCCCUCUGCCUUUCCUGGCAUGUGGAUGUGGUGCUGCACGGGGGAAUGGAUUUCCACUGCCACAAGGUAGGAUUGGCCCAACAACCCAGGCAGGUGAUGAAGAGCCUGAGCCUUGAUCCUGAUCCUCACCACCUGGGAGAGCAGAGGCAAAAUCUGGGGGCUAAAACCCCCUUUGCCAGGAGAAGAGAUGGGAGAAGACACGGUGGCAAAGCAGGGCCCAGCAGAAACAACAUCUUGCCUCCACCAGGGACCUUCCAGACUAUCCCCAGCUCAGGAAUUCCACCUCAUCCUCCAAGUGAGACCUCUCUCCAAGGCACAUCUCCCUGCAGGACCAGCAGCAGCUCCCUGUGAGCCGCUCUCUGCUGGAAUCCUGGGCCUCAGAUGAGGAUAUUCCAUGAUUGAUCUGGGAAAGGUACUGGGCCAUCUUCAAGCUGCCUGCUCCCAGAAGAAAGGGGUUAAACAACAAGACUCCCCACUCUCAGAACUUCUCCAGAGACUCCUGGAGAAGCCGGCAUGAGGAAAAAAGAAAAUCAGAAAUAAAAAUAAA